CACACUCUCUGCACCAACACAAAACACGCAACUAAGUUUCGUUUAAAAGCCCCAACUAAAAACAAUGCAAACGGAAACAAUUAAGUGACCAAGUGGCCAAACGCGGCGGCGCCGAAAGCGAGCGCAGUAAUUUUUCCGGAUGAAAUCGCGUUUUCGGGGAAACUUACACAAACAUUUUUUUUCGUAAGCGCUCUCAUGUUGUCUCCUUCGCACAGCAGAAUUACUAGUUGCUGUGUGUGUGCGUGCGUGCGUUUGUGUGUGCCGUAUGCCGUGUGUGUGUGUUUGUGUGAGUGACUUUGACUGCAGUUCGCGUACGUUUUUUAUUAAUACCACACGAAAACAACAACAAAAGUGAUGGAAACUAAACAUAUUUAAUCGCGAGGAGAGCAGAAAUCGGCAAACGACAACAACAACGGCAAGGCUUUAUUACCACCACCACGCAACAACAACAACAACAAAUUACUAUAGCCCAUUGGCGACUGUUAAUGUGUGUGAAAUUGAGCGUAUUUGUGUUAAAUAAUGUUUAAACAUUUCUGAUUUUGCACACACAAAACAAUUUUGAGUUGAAGUCACCUGCAGAGAGAAACAAUCGAAGCAAACGAAAACGAAAGAGCCAACUUUAUUAUUAAAAUCGCCUCAAAUACAAGCAAUAACAAAUAAAAUAUAAAACCGGAGAGUAAAAAGUUCAACAUUUAGUAAAGAAAAACAACUUAUUAAAACACUGCAUUAACAAACUCGUAG